rnacentral:rRNA from 1 species
GAUGAACGCUAGCUACAGGCUUAACACAUGCAAGUCGCGGGACAGCAUGGGGGUUGCUUGCAAUCCCCGAUGGCGACCGGCGCACGGGUGAGUAACGCGUAUCCAACCUGCCCUUCACCACGGGAUAACCCGGCGAAAGUCGGACUAAUACCGUAUGUUGUCCAUUGACGGCAUCCGAUUUGGACGAAAGGUUUGGCGGUGAAGGAUGGGGAUGCGUCCGAUUAGCUGGACGGCGGGGUGACGGCCCACCGUGGCGACGAUCGGUAGGGGUUCUGAGAGGAAGGUCCCCCACACUGGAACUGAGACACGGUCCAGACUCCUACGGGAGGCAGCAGUGAGGAAUAUUGGUCAAUGGGCGUAAGCCUGAACCAGCCAAGUAGCGUGCAGGAUGACGGCCCUAUGGGUUGUAAACUGCUUUUAUGCGGGGAUAAAGUGGCCCACGUGUGGGUUUUUGCAGGUACCGCAUGAAUAAGGACCGGCUAAUUCCGUG